AGUUAUUUGGCUCGUGCGAAGUUUUUGCCCAUCUCAUUUGUUGCUGAAUAUGUAGAAAGUUUGCUGGAAUGGUGUUCUUCUUAUUGCUCCAACCAGGGUGGCAGCAUCAAUCCAAAAGCUCACAAGGAAUUCUAUGCUGGGUGCCAGGCCAUGAUGUAUGUACUUUGCUUUCGCAUGAGAUCAAUGCUUGCUAUUCCUCGCAUCAGAUCACGUAUAUCAAAGCAUAUAGAGGAUAUCCUGAGGCAUCCUUUGAGCCCAUUAAUGGUAUGCUUGCCAUCAAUAGUGGAAGAAUUUCUUCGGUUGGCAAAAGUGACUCAUCUUGAUGUGCCGGAUAACGUUGUAUCAAGUAACCUGCUUGAGUCGGAACUUUCAAUGGCUUUUGGUGGUAGGGAGAGGCUUGACACAUUUUUCCCGUUUGAUCCCUGUCUUCUAAUGAAAUCUGACAGAUUCAUCCGGCCAAAUUUUGUGUACUGGUCAAUGGUUCGGAACUCUUAUGACAACGAUGAUGAUGAUGAUGAGGGUACUAGUGAUGAAGACGAUAUUGAAAUCUGUACAGCAGGGAACGGGAUAAAUAUACCUAAUGAUGGAGCUGCCCGAAGUUAUGAUCAGGAUCUCGAUGAAUUUGGUAAUAAAAUGAGCAAAAUGUCCAUAACACCUAAAGUUGCUCAAUGGGGGGAAUUACAAUCCGGCAGGCAGAUGCCUUCAAGUUUGCUACCUUGCCCUGAUUCCUUGUAGAGAUUGAUCUGCACCGUUUGAUGACCUUGAAAGAGGAAAUGCUUGCCCUUCCAUGGCAAAGAAGCGUCGUAUCAAAAUGCCUGUCCUGGUCCGUGGUUGGUUAUGGCAAGACACUGAGAUUAUGUGAUAUCCAUUAUAUCCUAGAUUCAUGAGAGGCCUUCGCCCCUGCCUGCCUGAAUACAUCCCGCGAGAUGUUAAGAGGUCAAGUUUUGUGUUCACAGCUAAAGUUAUUUGUAAUAUUUAGCAAUAGUUGGUUUGAUGAUGAGAACUAAAUGUGUAAACACUCAAAUUCUCUUGUAUUUUUCUUGUUGGUGUUAAUAUAUUAUGGUAAGA
rnacentral:misc_RNA from 1 species